rnacentral:rRNA from 1 species
AGCAGCCGCGGUAAUUCCAGCUCCAAUAGCGUAUAUUAAAGUUGUUGCAGUUAAAAAGCUCGUAGUUGAAUUUCGGAAUCAGUAUGUCGGUCGUGCCUUCGGUAUGUACUGGUGUCACUGAUUCCUCCCUUCUGACGAACCAUCAUGCCAUUAAUUUGGUGUGGUGGGAAAUCAGGACUGUUACUUUGAAAAAAUUAGAGUGUUUAAAGCAGGCUCGCGCUUGAAUACAUUAGCAUGGAAUAAUGAAAUAGGACGUUAAUCCUAUUUUGUUGGUUUCUAGGAUCGAUGUAAUGAUUAAUAGGGAUAGUUGGGGGCAUUAGUAUUCAAUUGUCAGAGGUGAAAUUCUUGGAUUUAU